UACGAAGGGGGCUAGCGUUGCUCGGAAUCACUGGGCGUAAAGCGCACGUAGGCGGAUCGUUAAGUCAGGGGUGAAAUCCUGGAGCUCAACUCCAGAACUGCCUUUGAUACUGAAGAUCUUGAGUUCGGGAGAGGUGAGUGGAACUGCGAGUGUAGAGGUGAAAUUCGUAGAUAUUCGCAAGAACACCGGUGGCGAAGGCGGCUCACUGGCCCGAUACUGACGCUGAGGCACGAAAGCGUGGGGAGCAAACAGG
rnacentral:rRNA from 1 species